CGCCACGUAUCCUGUCGCUCAGCGCUAUCGCGUCAGCCUUCCUGCAUUGCAGCACAAGGAAAACACCUCCCAUGUUAAACAUGUCUAGCUUGGAGUGCAAGCUUGCCUCAAGAUUUCAGCAUGUUCUAAAUAAACACUUUGGCUAGCUUGCAUCACAAGAUUGAUAGCUCUUUUUCUCCUAUAAAAGAGAGCUUCAUCACCUGUACACGCAACUUGAAUGAAAUUAGUGUUAUGCU
rnacentral:lncRNA from 1 species